GAUGAACGCUGGCGGCGUGCUUAAUACAUGCAAGUCGAACGGAGAGUUAGCAAUAGCUCUUAGUGGCGAACGGGUGAGUAACGCGUUGGUGACCUGUCCCGAAGAUGGGGAUAACAGUUCGAAAGGACUGCUAAUACCCGAUGUGGUUAUCGAGGUUAGAGGCUUGGUAACUGAAGGAGCAAUCCGCUUUGGGAGGGCCUGCGUCCCAUCAGCUAGUUGGUAGGGUAAAAGCCUACCAAGGCAUAGACGGGUAGGGGACCUGAGAGGGUGACCCCCCACACUGGCACUGAACAACGGCCGAGACACCUACGGGAGGCAG
rnacentral:rRNA from 1 species